rnacentral:rRNA from 1 species
UACAGAGGUCUCAAGCGUUGUUCGGAUUCAUUGGGCGUAAAGGGUGUGUAGGUGGCGCGCUAAGUCGGGUGUGAAAUUUCGGAGCUUAACUCCGAAACUGCAUUCGAUACUGCGGUGCUUGAGGGCUGGAGAGGAGACUGGAAUUCAUGGUGUAGCAGUGAAAUGCGUAGAGAUCAUGAGGAAGACCAGUGGCGAAGGCGGGUCUCUGGACAGUUCCUGACACUGAGACACGAAGGCCAGGGGAGCAAACGGGG